AUACAGAGGGUGCGAGCGUUAAUCGGAAUUACUGGGCGUAAAGCGCGCGUAGGCGGCUGAUUAAGUCAGAUGUGAAAUCCCAGGGCUCAACCUUGGAACUGCAUCUGAUACUGGUCAGCUAGAGUUUAGGAGAGGGAAGUAGAAUUUCAGGUGUAGCGGUGAAAUGCAUAGAUAUCUGAAGGAAUACCAGUGGCGAAGGCGGCUUCCUGGCCUAAAACUGACGCUCAGGUGCGAAAGCGUGGGUAGCAAACUGGAUUAGAUACCCGGGUAGUCC
rnacentral:rRNA from 1 species